UGGGGUCGAGCCAGUUGGCCUAUAGAGCUUGAAUUUUUUUUAGAAUUUUAAUGAUUUGUCUCCUUAAGAACCACAAAAUGAAGGAGUACAAAGAACAGCAACAAGGUUGAAGAAUAAGCACCUCAAAUAACUUUUUAGAUUUUCUCUGUAAAAUUAUAAUAAGCAUCAAGUCACUUUUCUUCCUUUUACAUUUACACCAGAUCUUGUUUUUCUGCUAAUAGAUUUUCUCAACAUAAUACAAGCUAGCAUAAUCCCUACCCCAACUAGUUAGGGAUUAAAUGUGUCGAGUUGAGUGCAAACUACCAUAAUGAACAUAGCAUAAACACUUUCUUCUGCUUUGAUAUUCCUAUUGUUCUUAUAAUAUAUGAAGUUAUAAACUAUGCGUCGAGCCUAUCAAUAUGUUCACAUGGUUUGGUUCUAUUGGGAUUACCUAACUCCUGUUUAAUUAGGUAAGCUGGUUGUUUAGAGCCUUAGAGGAUAAGCAUGUCUCCAGUGGAAAAAUCUAUUUUUCAGGUAUCUCUUUAUCUGUAUAGAUUCUCUAUUCAGACUCUCUCUCUCUGUUCUCCCUAUUUUAUUAAGAACACUAUCUUCUUAACAAAGAAUUACGUGGGGCCAUGUCCUGUGAGUCGGUGAAUGUACAAAAAAAAGAAAGUAAAAUCAAAAGGGUGCCACAAUCCAAUCUUUAACUAAAGUGUUUACUACCGAAUAUAAAAGAUAAUCAUUUUGCUAAAUAUCCAUGGAUUUGAGAUGAGAUCUUUGUACAGGUACUCUGUCCUGAACAACAUUCCAAGCUGGCUAACUGACUCCGUACAAUGAUAAUGUUAUGUUUUUUUUCCAUUUAAGGGUGAAUACGUUAGCUAGCCUUUAGCAGCUGGGACCUAUCCUGAAAUUGUGCCUUUUUAGCAAGGCGAGUUCUACCACAAUUUACUACUUAGUUCUCUCUCUGUUGGGUAUUUCUACUUAGUUCUUUUUAGCAGCUGGGACUUAUCCUGAAAUCUGGAAAUGUUGAAAACGAAAAUAAUUUUAAUCUUAAUGAUGCAUUUGCGGUAGUGUGAAAUUCACUGAAGGGUAGCCAGCUAAUUAAUAAAAUUCAUGACAGUUAGUAUAUGAGAAGAGUAUGUUUAAUAGUUUGCUUGACUGAAGUCUCUUUACACUUGAUUCUAAAAUCAAACAUUAUUAUCAGUGAUUGACAAUUGACAGCAAUGUUGAAAGAAAGAUAAACCAUGCAAUUCGGAACUUUAUUGCAAGCUAGUAACUAAUCGGCUAAUCAUACUUUCUGAAAGUUGCAAAUACCAUGUUAACAAAGGAGUCGCAACUAAAUGAUUUAAUUAUAUGGGAAAUAGCUGCCAACUUUAUGGAAGGAGUCGAGGCUCAAAACAUAUUGAGGAAAAAAAACUGUAGAACCAUAUUAAAAAGAAAAUCUUUAUGAUUUCAUUUUCUUGGUUGUUAGCUGUUAUUUCAGUAGUAUGUUGGAGCCAGAAACAUGCCUUGUGGCAAUAGCUUAGUUAUUCUUUAAUUCUUAACUCAUUAUAGGACAGAAACAAUAGCUUUUGAUUACCUGUUUUGGACAUUUCCCCAGUUAAGAGUAAACUGAUUUGAGUUUUUCUUCAGUUGGGUGAACAUACGGUUAUGCUAAGUUAGACACAUUUCUUUUUACCUUUUUAAUUUGUUUAUAGUGAGCUUAUACAAUCACAUGCUUAUAUUAGGUAAGUCAUGGGCAACCAAAAUGUACUUUUGGAAUAGAAUCUUUCUGACCAUGAUGCGGUAGUCUAUUUGAUUUGGUUGGCUUAAUUUACCCCCUAAAGUCUUUUGCUUAGAAUCUUUGACUUCUGAUCAGGCAUCAGAUUUUAUAUACAAAGAUGAAGCUUUUCUUCUCUCUUGAUAGAGCCUAUCCCCCACCCCCUUUUCUUUUCUUGUUCUGGGAAAAAAGUCCUACCUUCUUUUUAAUUUUCAUCGAAAGUGUUGCUCUCUUUUUUCAGAGAGAGGGAUUAAUAAAUUUAGCAGAAUUUAGAUUCUGAUACAGUUGAUACAUAAAGAUUGCCAUAACCAUUAUCUUAGCCACUCUUUCUGUUAUUUGUACUCUAUAUCUUCUAGUUGUAUUUGCAAACCUGAAUAAUAAUACUACAUAUUAGACAUGCAACCUGAGGCAUAUAAUCUUCUGGUUAACUCAUUCAUGGGCUCACAAAAUCUUAAUGCCUCGUCAUCAGGUUAACUACUUAAACAUACUACCUCGUCCCGGAUUUAGAUGCUCCUUUUUUUUAGUAUGUGGCGUGUUUUUUUAUAGAUAUUUAUCAAAUGUUAUGAUAAAGAUAAACCUUUAGUUAGGGAGAAAGGACACAUUUUGUUGACACAAUAAUGCAUAUCUGGUUGGGGUGAUAUUAAAACCCAAAAGUAUCAGAUUUUAGAAAUUGGAGAUGGAAUACCAGUGACUUUAUGCAGCAAGUGGAUUAGAGCAGCCCCAUUUUAUGGGCCAGUGUCGGCUAAUAUCUAGUUGAAUUGAUUCAUUUAUAGAAUAAGCAGCCAACUUUGAAAAUGAUGACUUAAAAGUAGUGUAAUGGCACGUAGAGAAGCCUUUAGUAAUAGGGAAAUGCUUCUUGACUCUCUUAAAGAUAUUUCAUUUUGAGGUUUCUCAUCGGACACGUAUGUUGUUGAUGUUGCUAAAUUAGGAUUUCUCAUCAGAGGUUAAGUACUUCUACUUUGGUUAGCUGCAUAACAGCAAACUUAGAAACUUUGGAAGUGAUCCCAAAACCAAGUUGCAAGAGUCAUAUUCUUGGGAUCUUGGCCACAUGCUAAUGGGGCUGUGCUGAUCAUUAGUUGAGAAUUACGUAUGCGGCUUUCUAGGAAUCUGGACGUGCAAAAGUGAAGCUUAAAUUGAAGGAUAUACACAUUCUUACUGAUGGUUGGAAUACUUAUCACUCGGUAUAUUUAGACCAACAUGUGUGGAUCCUUUUUCUUUCCCUCCCUCCUGUUCUCGUCAUGGUGGUCCUUUUUACAAGUUGGAGAUGUUGGGUACCUUAGACUCUAAAUGGUCCAUAGGCAUUAUUAAUACAUUGCUAAUGGAUUUGUGUAAUGAGUAUUAGUUACUUAGUUUAGAAUUUAGUUAAUCUCUUACACAUAGUUUCUCCUCUCCGAAACAAGUCCUCUCUUUUUUGUUGUAAACUCUGUGAAUCCAGAUUGUACUACUUUUGGGAAGGGAAUUGAAGUCCACCAGCCGGUUCUGGCCCUACGUGGGCUUGUGUAAUGAUAAAAUAUUAUUUUCAAUACAGAACCUUUGGAUNNNNNNNNNNNNNNNNNNNNNNNNNNNNNNNNNNNNNNNNNNNNNNNNNNNNNNNNNNNNNNNNNNNNNNNNNNNNNNNNNNNNNNNNNNNNNNNNNNNNUUGGAAAAGAAUUUAGGUGCAGAAAUGGAGGUGAAGGAUCUCUUAAUGCAUUUUUUAACUCGUGCAAAUUAAGCAAAAAUGCAAAUUAAGCAAGGACAUGUAUAAUAAAAUAUAAUCUUCAUAUGUGUGAAGAUUCUGUUCAUUCAAGUUGAUGAUAAUGCAUAUGUGGCAUACAUUAGUUCUUUAAGAUAUGAUGCUCAAUGCAUAAGACAAUCAAAUCAUAUUUGGGGACGAAAGGUGCGGCAAUGAGAUAAAAGGGUAUCAAGAUAAUAACUGAAUGAACAGUUUUGAGUGCACAUCACCAAUCAGCUAUCCUCCGAAAUUGUAGGACGAAAUAUAAAAGUUUUAUUUUAGGACUAAAUAUUUUUUCCCUUCAAUAUUUGGAAAUAUGAUAGAUAGAACGUACCACGCGCAUUCGCCCUACGUACUCUGAAUGUAACAUCAUUAGAUUCUUUAGCAUAACACAAAAAUCUUGUGGGACGGAUUUUUCAUAUCCUCAUACCCUUCUUGCAUGCAUUUGGGAGUUGAUCGAUAACUAGGCCAAGACAUAAGUAUGUAACUUGAGUUUAUGAUCUUACAAAAAGUUGUUUUUUUUAGUUCCACCAAUGUCAUGUUGGAAUAUUUUAAUUUUUUUUUAUAAGUAUAUAUACGUGCAAAUAUGCAAGUUAAAUUAAUGAAAAAGUUAAACUUGGAAGGGAUAAAAAAAAUCAUUCAUAUUCUUCAUACAAGUAUAGGCUCUGUAGCUUCUUUUCAUUCUGUUUUUGCUUGUUAGUUGCUUCUGUCUUUGCUUUACCAUUAAAGCCUUCUACAUCUCCACUACGAUACUAACUCUUGCGUAUAUCAGAGUAAUCAAAUUAAAAUAUAACUAAAUUAAUUGUAUUUUUGGUUUGAUAAUUUAAAAUUUGUAGUUUUUUUGAAUUUGUUGUUGGUUGGGAACUUGGGGACCCAAUUUAAUUUAUUUGAUGUAUUUGUUAUAUUAUGAACUUAAGACUCGAGAGGUUAGUAAUUAGGAUAUUUUUUUUUUGUUUGAUAGUUUAAGGAUUAAAUUGCAACUUUGUAAGGCCAAAAGUGUAUUUAUGAUGACUAGAUUGCUUGAUAUUUGAAGAUUAUUGAUUUAAUUUAUGUUUUAAUUGGAUUGAAUUGAUUUUAAAUAUGCAUCUGUGUUUGUCAACAUAAUUUUUUUAAAAAUAAUUGAAAUUCUUUUCGCUUUUUGGAGCUGUAGUUAUUUUGAAUUGGGAAUAUUUAUGACCCCAAUAUCUAUAAUUUUUUUAUUUUUGUUUUUCUUCACUGUUGUAUCGGUUAGUAAUGGCAAGUGAGAGGUUUAAACAAUCAAGAAAUAAGUAAAUCAAUGUCUUUAGCAGUUUCUCAUUUCUAAUUGUUAUAAUUAUUUUAUUUUCCUGCAUCUAACUAAUGAACCCUGCAUAAUUUUUGAAAUUACGAGUAUAAAUUUUGGAAAAUUUGAUCCUAUUAUUUCAAGUAAAGGUUAUUUGAAACUUGAAAAAGAUACGAAAAUUAGUUUAUGUUUUGAAAUUAAUUCAUGAUUUUGUUUGAAUAUAAAAAUUAAAUUUGGUUCGAGGUUUUGAGCAUUUGGGGAAUCAUUAAAAUUGAACUGUGAUAAGUAUUUGAAGUAAGUUUCUAACUUGUAUCUAAAUAUUUUUUAUUUUGAAAUUCUUUUUUUAGUUUGGAUUAUUAAUAUUUAUUUGUUGUAUAUUAUAGAAUUUUAUUUUUGUUGCAUAAAAUAAUUAUUUGUUUGGGGUUGUUGUAUACUUGUAUUUUGAUGAUUUAUGCAUUUAUUAUUAUGAUUAGUUCAAGUUUUUUUUUAUUUAACUUAACAAAAAAAAGUAGUUAAAAUUUGUACUUGCUAAGAAAAAUUCUUAAACCCGCUCCUACUUCGAAUCCAACAUUAUAUUAAUAAUAAUGGGUAUACAAUAUUUUUUCAAGUUUUAUGCAAUUAUGCCUUGAAACAAACAUGAGAUUACAAGAUAUUAUGAUCUUCUUGUCACAAUAUUACAAUAAUCCAGUUUGAUGCUAAACAAUGUUUGAUGCCCAUUUCUUGUUACAAUCCUCUAUGCAUUCUGUGGGCAAAUCAACUACUUCAAAAUUUUGAUUUCUUUAAUUGGAUUCUAUCACUGUUGGGUUAAGUCUAGUAUCCUAAAAUCAUUGUGCUUUUAUAAUCCUUUGCUGGCUGGCUGGUUCUUUUUGUCGAAUUGUAUGCCUAUUGAAUUAUGGGUUCUUUACACUAUUAUACAAUAAUUAGAAAAUAAUUAUAAAAUUAGUGCAUCUACAAAAUAAUUAUAAAAAGAGUGCAACAUAAUAAACUUUUUCCAAUUGAGCUUGUCUUUCAAAUUUUUAUAAACUCAAUUCUUAUUCUACCUUUUCUCAAUUUGAUCGACGGCAGCGACACAGUCUCUGUUCCAAUUAUAAUUAUCCAAAGUGAUGGAUUUAUUGGAAACGAAAUCAAAGCUAUAUAUAUACUAUGAAAAAAAAUAUAUCGACGACGACCAUUGCAGAACCCAAUAAAAUUGGUCGUGGUUGCACAUGUUGAUAAAAACAAAUACAUGUAACACUUGAAAAUUGUUCUUAAGUUUUUUAUAAUUAAUUGGUAACCCAAUAAAACUGAAUUUGUUACCUUUGUAUGAAGAUUUAGCUACCAACUACAGUAUGAAAAAAAUGUACCGGUGACGAC
rnacentral:lncRNA from 1 species